rnacentral:sRNA from 1 species
AUUUUAUACGAAAAUCAGCCCCUUUAAGAUGAGGUUCUCAGUAUUGUGUGGUGUAUUUCUACUUUUUGUAGCCUUUGUAGGACUAAGUGAGGCCCAACAAUCGCUACUCCCUACUCGUAAAAUUAUUGAGAAGAGACCUUUUGACCGACCUAACGAACCUUACCCAAAAAUGGUAUAUGGUGUAUGAGGACCUACCUCCAUCAAAAAAAUAUUAACCAAAUUUCGGAAGUAAAACCCGAGCAUUUUGAUGUUUGAAAUUAAUUUUUAUAAAAAAAUUGGAACAUUAAAAAGAAAUAAUUUUUUGUUCUUA